rnacentral:lncRNA from 1 species
UCGCCCGCGCUCCAUCGCAUUCAUCUUGAGCACCACCAACACUAGGACAUCAUAACUCUGCCGCGCGCAUGCAGAGACCCAGCAUGCGAGGAGGGCCGCUACCAGAGCUCCGACGUGGCCUUCUACGUGGGCAGCUUCCUCCUCGUGGCCGCGCUCGUGGGAAUGCUGUGCGCGCCCGCCUACGUCAUCGGCAAGCAGUUCGCCGUCGACAGCUACACCUUCAUCACGGACGAGGCGGAUCCUUCGGGAACGAAAGCUGCGGUUCCGCUGCCUCGACGCAUCUUCGUCGCUGAAAGUGAUCCCUUGCGGCGAAUGAACAGCAGCCAGAGACAUUUUCUCGUCCAGAAAGGGGUCACUACAUGGCGGCGUAAAG